rnacentral:rRNA from 2 species
CAGGUUGAUAGGUCUGAGGUGGAAGUGUGGCGACACAUGGAGCUGACAGAUACUAAUCGAUCGAGGACUUAACCUAAUA